rnacentral:rRNA from 1 species
UACGUAGGGACCAAGCGUUGUUCGGAUUUACUGGGCGUAAAGGGCGCGUAGGCGGCGCGGUAAGUCACUUGUGAAAUCUCUGAGCUUAACUCAGAACGGCCAAGUGAUACUGCAGUGCUAGAGUGUGGAAGGGGCAAUCGGAAUUCUUGGUGUAGCGGUGAAAUGCGUAGAUAUCAAGAGGAACACCGGUGGCGAAGGCGGGUCUCUGGGCCGAUACUGACGCUGAGGAGCGAAAGCGUGGGGAGCGAACAGG